rnacentral:rRNA from 1 species
CCUACGGGGUGCAGCAGUGGGGAAUAUUGCACAAUGGGGGAAACCCUGAUGCAGCGACGCCGCGUGAAGGAAGAAGUAUUUCGGUAUGUAAACUUCUAUCAGCAGGGAAGAAAAUGACGGUACCUGACUAAGAAGCCCCGGCUAACUACGUGCCAGCAGCCGCGGUAAUACGUAGGGGGCAAGCGUUAUCCGGAUUUACUGGGUGUAAAGGGAGCGUAGGCGGUGCAGCAAGUCAGAAGUGAAAGCCCGGGGCUCAACUCCGGGACUGCUUUUGAAACUGUUGAACUAGAGUGCAGGAGAGGUAAGUGGAAUUCCUAGUGUAGCGGUGAAAUGCGUAGAUAUUAGGAGGAACACCAGUGGCGAAGGCGGCUUACUGGACUGUAAAUGACGCUGAGGCUCGAAAGCGUGGGGAGCAAACAGGAUUAGAUACCCCAGUAGUC